UAAGGAAUAUUGGACAAUGGUCGCAAGACUGAUCCAGCCAUGCCGCGUGCAGGAAGACGGCCCUAUGGGUUGUAAACUGCUUUUGUACCAGAGAAAACCUAUCUACGUGUAGAUAGCUGAUAGUAUGGUAAGAAUAAGCACCGGCUAACUCCGUGCCAGCAGCCGCGGUAAUACGGAGGUUGCAAGCGUUAUCCGGAUUCACUGGGUUUAAAGGGUGCGUAGGAGGGUAUGUAAGUCAGUGGUGAAAUCCCCGAGCUUAACUUGGGAACUGCCAUUGAUACUAUAUAUCUUGAAUACCGUAGAGGUCAGCGGAAUAUGUCAUGUAGCGGUGAAAUGCUUAGAUAUGACAUGGAACACCAAUUGCGAAGGCAGCUUACUAUGCGGUGAUUGACACUGAGGCACGAAAGCGUGGGUAGCAAACA
rnacentral:rRNA from 1 species